CAAAGAGCAAAGGAGAAGAACAAGCUUAGAUAGUUCCAAAGCCUACCUGUUAACAAUACAAAUGAAUCAUUUGCAUAUAUGUCAUAUAAAGCUAGUUUCAAUUCUUUUUGUUUACUUAUUGAUGGUCCUUGGGAGGUUCUUCUUUUAACCCCCUUUAAACAUUUGGUUUCAGAAGCAUUCCUGGGUACUUUGAACACAGUAACAGAAUUGCCUCAUUAGAACUUGGGAAAAUACUCAGAUCAUGACUAUGAUUAGACACUGAAGCUGCACAAGUAAGAUAUUUGGGACCCAAGUCAAAAGCCUUCAGCAUGAAAUGUAAAAGAACUUUCUUAGUUUUCCCAGGCCUAACAACAGACUUCCAGUAAUGGAAAAGAGACGAAAAGUACUGAUAACUCUGUUGAUAAAAACAAUGGGUUGGAUCCAAAGGUGGCUUCAUGCUAGCAAUGGAAGCUACUCACACUUGUAUGCAAGGCAUGGCAUCUGAUGAUGAGGGACCAGAUGCAGCCCAUUGUGUAAUAACUGACCACAUUCCCUAGUCCUCAAAAAAAGCUUUCUGGAGAAUCACAGGGGAGCCUACAGUGAGUAUGAAGAAUUAGUGAAAAUCCAGCCCAUUGCCCUGUGGAAGCGCUUCCUACAAUUGCAAAGCCACUAUUGGAUGCCACUGAGCAGAUAUAAUGCUACCAAAGUCACUGCCAGCUACCUUUGCAGGGGGAAAAAGGAGUCAUUAUUGCUACAUUGCCGGUACUUUGAUAAAGAACAUUCCGUCCCAUACUGUGUUGCAAGUGGAAAACAGAACGAGAAACACUUUAAAUAUUAACUAAGUUCCCAGGAAUAUGCUGUUUAAAUCCAGUAAAUCCAGCCCAAAAUAUUGCACAAUAAUUUUAGGAAAUAUUUUGGUGCUGCAAACCAAAGUGCUCUUAUGUGGAACAGAUAAUAAUCAUGUGCUGUCGAGCCCAUUCUAAUGUAUGGUGUUUUCCAGGUAAAAAUACUCAGAAGUGGUUUACCAUUCCCUUCCUCUGGGGUCAUCCUCAGGCAAUGCAGCCUGCCCAAGGCCACUCUACUCCUGGCAGGUGCAGUGGGGGAAUCAGACUCCCAACCUUUACCACAUAAGUGCCUAUAUUUCAGUCCUCCUCCCCAGUAAACUAUUAGCAGCUGUUGGAAAAUAUUUUAAUUGGGAAAAUGACACUAGAGGAAGGACUAAAUGCCCUUCUCCACUCUAGCACUGCUACCAUGAUCUAAUUAGCACCACCAUCUGAUUUUAGCCUAGUUGUUGGGGGGUGAGAAUGCUAGAACAAAGAUUUCCUGUGUAUUAUGUUAAAUCUGGUCCUGAUUGGUCAAGUUACCUUUUGAUGCUCUUAUCCAUUUUAUUACUGGACAAGGAUUAGCCUAUGCUAGUGCUCAGGUAGCAAGGAAUGUAUUGCCUUCCCACUCAAUUGGUUUGGUUGAAUGGGAGACAGCCAAUCAACAGAGAAUGGAAAUGUCCAGGAAAUAUAUAGCGUGUUUUUGUUUGAUAACAAAAUUGGCCCCAUAAACUAGCCUCUUGAGAGUGUUAUUGUUGCUGCCAUAGAUAUCUCUGAGGGAUUUUUCUCCAUCUUGACUUUUUUACAUCUGUGUUCCUGUUUACUUGCAACUGAUUAGUAUUCAGAAGCUACACCUAAGAAUUAUUUCCAACCAGUUUUACCAGGCUGCUGCAAGCUGCACAAUAACCUAUGUUUCUCAAUAUGGAAGACUGCUGUGGAAUCUACUACAUGAUCCUUUUGUACCAAAGCAAGCAAUCCUAUGAGUAUCCAGUAUCCCCUUGGACAUGGAUGGUACCAUUUGACUGCCUAAACAAGGACAUUUCACUCUGGAUAUUUGGAGAAAGAGGGAGUGAUUGAUUUGCUGAAUUUUGUCUCUUUAUGUAGUUGUUACUC